rnacentral:rRNA from 1 species
GACGAACGUUGGCGGCGUGCUUAAUACAUGCAAGUCAACUGAAGCACCGGUAGUAAUACUGGUGUGGAGGUGGCGCACGGUGAGUAACACGUAGGUAAUCUGCCUUCAGGUCUGACAUAACCCCGAGAAAUCGGGGCUAAUAGCAGAUGAUGCAGCGGCUUGACAUCAAGACAGUUGUUAAAGCUUCGGCGCCUGAAGAUGAGCCUGCGUCUGAUUAGCUAGUUGGCGGAGUAAUAGCCCACCAAGGCGACGAUCAGUAGCUGGUCUGAGAGGAUGAUCAGCCACACUGGAACUGAGACACGGUCCAGACUCCUACGGGAGGCAGCAGUAAGGAAUAUUGCUCAAUGGGAGAAAUCCUGAAGCAGCAACGCCGCGUGAGGGAUGAAGGGCUUUUGCUCGUAAACCUCUGUAGUGAGGGAAAAAUUUCCAAUUCUAUGGAAUAUGAUGGUACCUCAAAAGUAAGACCCGGCUAACUACGUAGCCAG